rnacentral:rRNA from 1 species
AUUGAACGCUGGCGGCAGGCCUAACACAUGCAAGUCGAACGAGUGGCGGACGGGUGAGUAAUGUCUGGGAAACUGCCUGAUGGAGGGGGAUAACUACUGGAAACGGUAGCUAAUACCGCAUAGCCUCAGAUGUGCCCAGAUGGGAUUAGCUAGUUGGUGGGGUAACGGCGAACCAAGUCGACGAUCCCUAGCUGGUCUGGAGGGAUGACCAGCCACACUGGAUCUGAGACCCGGGCCAGCCUCCGACGGGAGGCAGCAUUGGGGAAUAUUGCACAAUGGGCGCAAGCCUGAUGCAGCCAUGCCGCGUGUAUGAAGAAGGCCUUCGGGUUGUAAAGUACUUUCCGCGGGGAGGCGUUACCCGAAGAAGAAGCACCGGCUAACUCCGUGCCAGCAGCCGCGGUAAUUC